UACAGAGGUGGCGAGCGUUAUCCGGAGUUACUGGGCGUAAAGCGCGCGCAGGCGGUGCGCUAAGGGACUGGUGAAAGCUCCUGGCUUAACCGGGAGAGGACCGGUCCGACUGGCGUGCUGGAGAGCAGUAGAGGGACGUGGAAUUCCGGGUGUAGCGGUGAAAUGUGCAGAGAUCCGGAGGAACACCAGAGGGGAAACCGGCGUCCUGGGCUGUAUCUGACGCUGAGGCGCGAAAGCGUGGGGAGCGAAC
rnacentral:rRNA from 1 species